UCUUCCUUCCUCCCCAAAUCAUCGUCGAUACUCUCUGUUCUUCCUCCCGAUCCUCUAUUCUCGCGUGAUGACACCACCACGUUGAUCGUCGUGAGCCUACUGCCAACCGAGCCUCCCUUCUCCUCCACCGAUUGCCUGAGCUCAUUUAGCCAUUCGAUCUCCCCUCUCCUAGUCGCGGACACCAAGUGCUCGUCGGAAACGUGUCUAUUCUCCCAUGCCCUAGAUCGCUGGAUCGCCAAUCCACCAUCAUCAUCAGCACUUGCGCACCACCCGAUCGACUGAGGUCAUUCUGCUAUCUUCUUUCCACCGGAUUCUGGUUCUGUUCUUUUGCAUCGCGCACCACCUUCCAAUGAUUGAUGACGCGAUUUCUUCAUUGUCAGUUGCCACAUUUAAGAGGACAAUAGCUUCUUGGUUGCUUCGAUCUUGGUUCAUUGUUGGCAUCUGGUAAUGUCGACACCAUUUGGAAACGCCCGAUCAAGAGGAAGCAGAGGAUCAGUGUACUGUGGACUUGCCCUGUUGCCGGUCACUGCAAAUUCCACUUCUUGAAGCUGUGAAGGUUGUGGGUGAGGAGGUAGCAAAUAGAUGGUUGGUGUGUCGCUUGGAGUAUCCUGUCUGCUGGGUCCUACGUCACAUCCGAAGGCCGUUUCGGGUUUGUAUAUUUGUAUUUGAUAUUUGCUGUAUUUGGUGUGUUGUUGUAUUUGUUGUUGUGGUUGUUGUAUAAAGCCUAGUCGGCUAGCAGUGUAUUAAUUUUUGUUGUAUUUGACUUUCUGUUAUCGUUUUUCCGCUGUGUUGAUUUUUAAUGCAGCCGAGUGGGUUGUUCAUUGUAUAUAUAUAAUUACGUGGUUGUGUUUAAUUAUGUUCCAGC